AACGAACGCUGGCGGCAUGCCUAACACAUGCAAGUCGAACGAGACCUUCGGGUCUAGUGGCGCACGGGUGCGUAACGCGUGGGAACCUGCCCUUAGGUUCGGAAUAACUCCCCGAAAGGGGUGCUAAUACCGGAUAAUGUCUUCGGCCCAAAGAUUUAUCGCCUUUGGAUGGGCCCGCGUUGGAUUAGCUAGUUGGUAGGGUAAAAGCCUACCACGGCGACGAUCCAUAGCUGGUCUGAGAGGAUGAUCAGCCACACUGGGACUGAGACACGGCCCAGACUCCUACGGGAGGCAGCAGUGGGGAAUAUUGGACAAUGGGCGAAAGCCUGAUCCAGCAAUGCCGCGUGAGUGAUGAAGGCCUUAGGGUUGUAAAGCUCUUUUACCCGGGAUGAUAAUGACAGUACCGGGAGAAUAAGCUCCGGCUAACUCCGUG
rnacentral:rRNA from 1 species